CGUCAGAAGCCCCUCGGAGCUGGACCUUGGCGGUAGAGACGUUCCUUCAGGUAUACAGGACGGAGGCUGUUUAGAAACACGCUAUUUCAUCCAGCUCUCUUAAGUGGAUGAGAGCUGCAUGAUAACAGACUUUUGUCCCUUUUGUCCCGUGGGCUUAGCAUAAGUAGUUCCCUGAUGGGUUUCUCUCAAGCAGUGAUGAGGAACAAAAUACAAACAAUUAGGGUAAUGACAGGGAAAGCACACUAAUUGGCUAGACCAAAGGCGCUUGUUUCAACACCCACUCUCUCAUCUCCCUCCUGUUACCUGCAGGAAGCUUUUAAAGUGAUGGAUCUGAAAGGAAAGGAAUGAAAGCAGUGCUCCUCCAGGUCUGAAGACAUAAACCAGCUUCACUUUUUCCUCUUGGCAGUGCGCAUUGUGAUGUGCGAAGUGUUAUAAAUACGGCUUUAUUGAUACAUGCCGGUGGACAAGGAGGCAGCAACCCACUGAGCAAGAUCUGAAUGCAAAAAGAGACACCUGCAGCUCUGCCUCUCUUUCAAAUCAGAACCAGUGAAGGCGGUGAAGGUCCUCUGUGAGUGCCUGGAGGCGGAUGGAGGAUGGAUGGCGGCUAACAGAUUGAGGUUGAAUCCUAGCAAGAUAGAA
rnacentral:lncRNA from 1 species